GCAUUGGUAGUUUGGUGGUAGAAUUCUUGCCUCUCAUGCAGGAGGCCUGGGUUCAAUUCAUGACUAAUGCA
rnacentral:tRNA from 1 species